UACGUAGGGUGCGAGCGUUGUCCGGAAUUAUUGGGCGUAAAGAGCUCGUAGGCGGUUUGUCGCGUCGGCUGUGAAAGCCCGGAGCUCAACUCCGGGUCUGUAGUCGAUACGGGCAGACUUGAGUGUUGCAGGGGAGACUGGAAUUCCUGGUGUAGCGGUGAAAUGCGCAGAUAUCAGGAGGAACACCGGUGGCGAAGGCGGGUCUCUGGGCAACAACUGACGCUGAGGAGCGAAAGCGUGGGGAGCGAACAGG
rnacentral:rRNA from 1 species